UACGAGGGGGGCGAGCGUUGUCCGGAGUUACUGGGCGUAAAGCGCUUGUAGGCGGUCCACCAAGUUUGAGGUGACAGUUGCCGACUUAAUCGGCAAAGUGCCUCAAAGACUGGCGGACUUGAGGGCCACAGAGGGACAUGGAACUCCAGGUGUAGUGGUGAAAUGCGUAGAUAUCUGGAAGAACACCAAAGGCGAAGGCAGUGUCCUGGGUGGUCGCUGACGCUGAGAGGCGAAAGCCAGGGGAGCGAACGGG
rnacentral:rRNA from 1 species